UGCUCGAGUGGCGAACGGGUGAGUAACACGUGGGUGAUCUGCCCUGCACUUCGGGAUAAGCUUGGGAAACUGGGUCUAAUACCGGAUAGGACCAUCGUUUAGUGUCGGUGGUGGAAAGUUUUUUCGGUGUGGGAUGAGCUCGCGGCCUAUCAGCUUGUUGGUGGGGUAAUGGCCUACCAAGGCGUCGACGGGUAGCCUGCCUGAGAGGGUGUACGGCCACAUUGGGACUGAGAUACGGCCCAG
rnacentral:rRNA from 1 species